UCUAUGGUGGUGCCAUUAAUUAUAAUAAUGAAAAUGAAUGACAUGCAUUUAAUUUAUUUUACUGGUUCAUGUAUAAACUUUUUAAGGCUAUUGAAGUUGUUUGCCAAUUAGUACAUAAUCAGAUUGUGUAGGUCAUGACAACAUCUCCGCUGUUUAAUAUAUGUAGAAAAGUUGAGCUUAAAAUGAUCAAAUCACAAAAUCUUGAAGAUAUGAGCCAAUACACUUCAUGAGAACACUUCUGUGAAAUCUUAGUUGAAAUCAGUUGAGAAAAUUGAAUGAGCAGUUGCACACAAAUCCGUUUUUUUUUUUUCACCUGUUGUAACAGCCAUCUGCAUUAUUCACCAAUCUACUAACAGUACCUGUAUUUUCUUUGGGAAAACCUGGUUACAUAUUACUUACAAGGGGAAGAGAACCUCAACAGUUCUCAUCAAUAUAAAUGUACAAUAAACUGCAUUAACAAACGGUUAGCUGAGAAAGCUUUGGAAUGAUAAAGAUAGGACAAAAGAAGAUACAUGAAGCAAAAAGUAACAGGGGUAAAUCAUUUAAACAUAAAAUGUCACAAAAGUUUUUAUUCUACAAGAAAAAAAGUUACU